rnacentral:rRNA from 1 species
GUACGGCCGCAAGGUUAAAACUCAAAUGAAUUGACGGGGGCCCGCACAAGCGGUGGAGCAUGUGGUUUAAUUCGAUGCAACGCGAAGAACCUUACCUACUCUUGACAUCCAGAGAAUUUAGCAGAGAUGCUUUAGUGCCUUCGGGAACUCUGAGACAGGUGCUGCAUGGCUGUCGUCAGCUCGUGUUGUGAAAUGUUGGGUUAAGUCCCGCAACGAGCGCAACCCUUAUCCUUUGUUGCCAGCGAUUCGGUCGGGAACUCAAAGGAGACUGCCGGUGAUAAACCGGAGGAAGGUGGGGAUGACGUCAAGUCAUCAUGGCCCUUACGAGUAGGGCUACACACGUGCUACAAUGGCGUAUACAAAGAGAAGCGACCUCGCGAGAGCAAGCGGAACUCAUAAAGUACGUCGUAGUCCGGAUUGGAGUCUGCAACUCGACUCCAUGAAGUCGGAAUCGCUAGUAAUCGUAGAUCAGAAUGCUACGGUGAAUACGUUCCCGGGCCUUGUACACACCGCCCGUCACACCAUGGGAGUGGGUUGCAAAAGAAGUAGGUAGCUUAACCUUCGGGAGGGCGCUUACCACUUUGUGAUUCAUGACUGGGGUGAAGUCGUAACAAGGUAACCGUAGGGGAACCUGCGGUUGGAUCACCUCCUUACC